rnacentral:miRNA from 1 species
UGAGGGAGGAAGGGAAUAAU